rnacentral:tRNA from 1 species
GCUGGCGCAGCAAAAUCAGGGGUGCCUGCCUUCCAAGCAGGUUGUCGCGGGUUCGAGUCCCGUCUCCCGCU